UGUGUCUGCAGUUAACUGAGCUGCAUGGAUAAGGGGAGUGUUUAAUAAACUCCCGUCAACACUAAACAUUUAUCCUGAAAUCACGGUACACGCACCGAUAAACAUUAUUUCUUGGGUCCAGUCCACUACCGUCUCUUGGAAAAUCAUUUUACGAAACAUUUCGGCAUUUUUUGAAUCGACAAUAUUACCUGCCCGUUUAUGGCUGGCCGGCAAACACAGACGGAAAUAUCCGGGAAACUAUCAACCACGAACUCCAGGCCCGGCCAGGAAUACCGGUUGCGAAUCACAUUUCGCGCAAGAAAAUGCAGCGAGCGACACCGUAUGCGCCAGGGGCAUUUUACAAAGACAUGACGCGCAACGAGCACGAAAGUGUGCGCGGAAAAAAUCAGACAUCGACGCCUGCAGUAGUUUUUGUUCUUUGGGACGUUCACUCUGGUGGAUUAACGAAAAGUCAUGCCUGCGCGAAUAAUAAAACAACCUUUAUACGAUUUGUCUUACUGCAAAGUUUCUGAACUUCCGAUAAUCAAGUUGCCUUUGUAAUCGCGGCACGGUAUUGUACAUACUGUUGGUAUACCUGUGAAAAUGCGCGCA